UUCGCAAUGCCCGAAAGGGUGACGAAGCGACGCCGCGUGUGGGAAGAAGGCCUUCGGGUUGUAAACCGCUGUCGGGAGUUAGGAAGUGCAAGGAUGUUAAUAGCGUUCUUGCUUGACUAAGGCUCCGGAGGAAGCCACGGCUAACUCUGUGCCAGCAGCCGCGGUAAUACAGAGGCGGCAAGCGUUGUUCGGAAUUAUUGGGCGUAAAGAGCACGUAGGCGGCUGUGUAAGUCGGUUGUGAAAGCCUUCCGCUCAACGGGAGAACGGCAUCCGAUACUGCAUGGCUUGAGUGCGGGAGGGGAGAGUGGAACUUCUGGUGGAGCGGUGAAAUGCGUAGAUAUCAGAAGGAACGCCGGCGGCGAAAGCGGCUCUCUGGCCCGUAACUGACGCUGAGUGUGCGAAAGCUAGGGGAGCAAACGGGAUUAGAUACCCCGGUAGUCCUAGCCGUAAACGAUGGGCACUAAGUAGAGGGGUUUU
rnacentral:rRNA from 1 species